UACGAAGGGGCUAGCGUUGUUCGGAUUUACUGGGCGUAAAGCGCACGUAGGCGGAUCUUUAAGUCAGAGGUGAAAUCCCAAGGCUCAACCUUGGAACUGCCUUUGAUACUGAGGAUCUCGAGUUCGGGAGAGGUGAGUGGAACUGCGAGUGUAGAGGUGAAAUUCGUAGAUAUUCGCAAGAACACCAGUGGCGAAGGCGGCUCACUGGCCCGAUACUGACGCUGAGGCACGAAGCGUGGGAGCAAACAGG
rnacentral:rRNA from 1 species